rnacentral:rRNA from 1 species
UACGGGGGGUGCGAGCGUUGUCCGGAAUCACUGGGCGUAAAGGGCGCGUAGGUGGUCUGAUAAGGGUGUGGUGAAAGCCCGGGGCUCAACCCCGGGUCGGCCGUGCCGACUGUUGGACUAGAGUGCUGUAGGGGCAGGCGGAAUUCCACGUGUAGCAGUGAAAUGCGUAGAGAUGCGGAGGAACACCGAUGGCGAAGGCAGCCCCCUGGGCUGACACUGACGCUGAGGCACGAAAGCGUGGGGAGCAAACAGG